rnacentral:rRNA from 1 species
CUACGGGAUGCAGCAGUGAGGAAUAUUGCACAAUGGGGGGAACCCUGAUGCAGCAACGCCGCGUGGAGGAUGACGCAUUUCGGUGUGUAAACUCCUUUUAUAUGUCAAGAAAAUGACGGUAGCAUAUGAAUAAGCACCGGCUAACUCCGUGCCAGCAGCCGCGGUAAUACGGAGGGUGCAAGCGUUACCCGGAAUCACUGGGCGUAAAGGACGCGUAGGCGGGCUUGUAAGUCAGGUGUGAAAUCCUACAGCUUAACUGUAGAACUGCACUUGAAACUACGAGCCUAGAGUAUGGGAGGGGGAGAUGGAAUUAGUGGUGUAGGGGUAAAAUCCGUAGAUAUCACUAGGAAUACCUAAAGCGAAGGCGAUCUCCUGGAACAUAACUGACGCUAAGGUGUGAAAGCGUGGGGAGCAAACAGGAUUAGAUACCCGCGUAGUC